CACUGUGUUGAAAUGACACCAUAGGUGUUUAGAGGUGUCAACAACAUUAAUGUAGUACACUAACCUUAUUAUAUUUUAUAUUUAUAUUUAUUCAUGAGACUGGGGUUUUGUCCACUUUUGUAAUAAGGAUCAUAUUCAGAUUAUGCAUUUA